GAUUUAUAAAGAAGAGGCGAGAGAAUGGGCUCAACGAACCUCUGGCAACCUGCUACCAUCAUGGAGAAAGGUGCUAAUUCCCACCUAAUUUUAUUAGGAGAUAUAAAAU
rnacentral:ncRNA from 1 species